rnacentral:rRNA from 1 species
CCUACGGGAGGCAGCAGUGAGGAAUAUUGGGCAAUGGCGGCAACCCUGACCCAGCCAUGCCGCGUGAGUGAAGAAGGUCUUCUGAUUGUAAAGCUCUUUCGGUCGUGACGAUGAUGACGGUAGCGUCUAAAUAAUCCCCGUCAAACUUCGUGCCAGCAGCCGCGGUACAACGAAGGGGGCGAGCGUUGUUCGGAAUUACUGGGCGUAAAGGGAGUGUAGGCGGAUAUGUAAGAUUGCGGUGAAAUGCCGGGGCUCAACCCCGGAACUGCCAUUAUGACUAUGUAUCUAGAGUAAUGGAGAGGAUAGCGGAAUACCCAGAGUAGAGGUGAAAUUCGUAGAUAUUGGGUAGAACACCGAUGGCGAAGGCAGCUAUCUGGCCAGUGACUGACGCUGAGGCUCGAAAGCAUGGGGAUCAAACAGGAUUAGAUACCCGGGUAGUC